rnacentral:rRNA from 1 species
GCGAACGCUGGCGGCAGGCCUAACACAUGCAAGUUGAACGAACUCUUCGGAGUUAGUGGCGGACGGGUGAGUAACACGUGGGAACGUGCCUUUUGGUUCGGAAUAACUCAGGGAAACUUGUGCUAAUACCGAAUGUGCCCUUCGGGGGAAAGAUUUAUCGCCAUUAGAGCGGCCCGCGUCUGAUUAGCUAGUUGGUGAGGUAACGGCUCACCAAGGCGACGAUCAGUAGCUGGUCUGAGAGGAUGACCAGCCACACUGGGACUGAGACACGGCCCAGACUCCUACGGGAGGCAGCAGUGGGGAAUCUUGCGCAAUGGGCGAAAGCCUGACGCAGCCAUGCCGCGUGAAUGAUGAAGGUCUUAGGAUUGUAAAAUUCUUUCACCGGGGACGAUAAUGACGGUACCCGGAGAAGAAGCCCCGGCUAACUUC